CCUACGGGAGGCAGCAGUGGGGAAUAUUGCGCAAUGGGCGAAAGCCUGACGCAGCGACGCCGCGUGAGGGAUGAAGGUCUUCGGAUCGUAAACCUCUGUCAGCAGGGAAGAACGGUCACUGUGCUAAUCAGUAGUGAAUUGACGGUACCUGCAAAGGAAGCACCGGCUAACUCUGUGCCAGCAGCCGCGGUAAUACGGAGGGUGCGAGCGUUAUUCGGAAUUACUGGGCGUAAAGCGGUCGUAGGCGGUAUGUCAAGUCAGGGGUGAAAUCCCCGCGCUCAACGUGGGGACUGCCUUUGAGACUAGCAAACUAGAGUGAGUGAGAGGUAAGUGGAAUUCCAGGUGAAGGAGUGAAAUCCGUAGAUAUCUGGAAGAACACCAGAGGCGAAGGCGACUAUCUGGCACUUAACUGACGCUGAGGGACGAAAGCGUGGGUAGCAAACAGGAUUAGAUACCCCUGUAGUC
rnacentral:rRNA from 1 species